rnacentral:misc_RNA from 1 species
UCCUGUAUGGGUGUGCGCUGCUGCUCUCGCCGCCGCUGCUUCGUCCCAGUGUUGGUUGGUCGGUUUGCAUCUGCUCUGUGGGCCCCUUCCACCACCGUCUCCCGUCUUGCUCACCGGUGGCAACGCGCGUAUACAUGCGUUCAUUUUGUUCUCGCGUCUUUUGUCCACCCCAAUUUCGCGUGUGCGGUAUCGGUGCAACAGAAAUUUAUUCUACGUUGUGCGUUGCGUGCGUAUCUUGGCGUUUCAGUCGCUUCUUCGGCGGGAGGGGAAGAGAGAACAGCUAGCUAUUGCUGUAUAUAGUGCCUGUGCGGCUCAGACGCGUUGGCACCGACGUCGUGGCGCUGUUCAGAAAGAGAGACGCUUAGUCAGGAGUGAACAGAGCCAAAAAAAAAAAAGGGCUAACGAUCGGAUGAGGCACACGCGACUUCGUGUAGACACACACAGCAAAGCAUAAGCCAGAGACGAGACCGUUCUCGGUCCCUUCGUGCUCCUCACGUGCAAAGACGCCUUGAGCUCGCCGAUACUUUCCUUUUUCCUUCCUCAGUCUAGACUUCCAGAGUACCGUGCGCCGCGUUGCUUCGUCAGAGUCAGGUGGUGUGCUCCCACGUUGCCACAGGGCGGCAUCUCCGCCGGCGCCGGCGUCUCCCGUGCGCACCUGUCGAUCCCCGUAAGCUUGAUUGCCUUUGUCGCCCUGCCUUUCCCGCCCUCCUCGCUUCGUCCUACCGCUCUCUGGCGCGGGCCCCGUACACGGGAAAACGAAAAAAAAAAG